rnacentral:rRNA from 1 species
CAGUAGCCGCGGGAAAACGGAGGGGGCUAGCGUUGUUCGGAAUUACUGGGCGUAAAGCGCACGUAGGCGGCUUGGUAAGUUAGAGGUGAAAGCCUGGAGCUCAACUCCAGAAUUGCCUUUAAGACUGCCGAGCUAGCAGGUGAGAGAGGUAAGUGGAAUUCCGAGUGUAGAGGUGAAAUUCGUAGAUAUUCGGAAGAACACCAGUGGCGAAGGCGGCUCACUGGACUAGUAUUGACGCUGAGGUGCGAAAGCGUGGGGAGCAAACAGGAUUAGAUACCCCAGUAGUCCCUGUCUCUUAUAC